CGCGUAGGCGGCCAGCACAAGUCAGUUGUGAAAUCUCCGAGCUUAACUCGGAAAGGUCAACUGAUACUGUGCGGCUAGAGUGCGGAAGGGGCAACUGGAAUUCUUGGUGUAGCGGUGAAAUGCGUAGAUAUCAAGAGGAACACCUGCGGCGAAGGCGGGUUGCUGGGCCGACACUGACGCUGAGGCGCGGAAAAGCCGUAGGGGGAGCGGAACG
rnacentral:rRNA from 1 species